AGAGUUUGAUCCUGGCUCAGAACGAACGCUGGCGGCGUGCCUAACACAUGCAAGUCGUACGAGAAAUCCUGGGCAACUGGGAAAGUAAAGUGGCGCACGGGUGAGUAACGCGUGGGUAACCUACCCUUGAAUUGGGGAUAACUCUUCGAAAGGGGAGUUAAUACCGAAUAAUAUUUCAAUUCCCACGGGAGUUGGAAUCGAAGGUGGCCUCUGCAUGCAAGCUAUCGUUUAAGGAUGGGCCCGCGUACCAUUAGCUAGUUGGUAGGGUAACAGCCUACCAAGGCAACGAUGGUUAGCUGGUCUGAGAGGAUGGCCAGCCACACUGGAACUGAGACACGGUCCAGACUCCUACGGGAGGCAGCAGUGGGGAAUCUUGCGCAAUGGGGGAAACCUUGACGCAGCAACGCCGCGUGGGUGAUGAAGGCCUUCGGGUCGUAAAGCCCUGUCAGGUGGGAGGAAACUUGUGGAUGUUAAUACCAUCCACACUUGACGGUACCACCGGAGGAAGCACCGGCUAACUCCGUGCCAGCAGCCGCGGUAAUACGGAGGGUGCAAGCGUUGUUCGGAAUUAUUGGGCGUAAAGCGCGUGUAGGCGGUCAGGUAAGUCAGAUGUGAAAGCCUUCUGCUUAACAGAAGAAGUGCAUUUGAAACUGCUUGGCUAGAGUACGGGAGAGGAGAGUGGAAUUCCCGGUGUAGAGGUGAAAUUCGUAGAUAUCGGGAGGAACACCAGUGGCGAAGGCGGCUCUCUGGUCCGAUACUGACGCUGAGACGCGAAAGCGUGGGGGAGCAAACAGGAUUAG
rnacentral:rRNA from 1 species